rnacentral:rRNA from 1 species
GUCUCAGUUCGGAUUGGAGUCUGNAACCCGACUCCAUGAAGCUGGAUUCGCUAGUAAUCGCGCAUCAGCCACGGCGCGGUGAAUACGUUCCCGGGCCUUGUACACACCGCCCGUCAAGCCAUGGAAGCCGGGAGUGCCUGAAGUACGCGACCGCAAGGAGCGUCCUAAGGUAAAACCGGUGACUGGGGCUAAGUCGUAACAAGGUAGC